CACAGCUGGAAAGGGAAAUGCCAGCGUGCACCUCUGGAUUUCGGGACUGCCUCAAGGUGCUCCAGAGGCUCCAAAGAGGACUCAGACAGGGACACUCCAGGAGAAGCUUCAGAUGUCACGGGAAGAGAAAAAUUUGAUUUUCCUUGCAGGAAGAGGGAGCCUGUCCCAGCCUUCCCCCUCAGGCCUCUGACUGCUGCAGUUUGCUUUGCUAAGCACAGGAACAAAAACUGCAACCAUGAAAUUAUUUUAACAAGACCAUGAAAAAGAGGAAAAAAAAAAAAAAGAGAAGAAAAAAGGAUGGUGACAACAACAACAAUUUGCCCAAGUGAUGCUUGGAAAAAAAUAAA